CUGACAACCUUGGAAACUAAAGUCAUUUAUUUAUCCUCAAAGCAGGCAAAGCACACGCAGGGACAAUGCAAGCCUUCCCUUCAUUGCCCUGCCAAAGGGGUUUGGAUACUUUUCUAAAAAGACCACAUCUGGUGGGAAGAGAGACUUAACCACUAGGCAAGAUAAAUUCAAAUGGUCGUUGCU
rnacentral:sRNA from 1 species